AUUUUUGAACCACAGCUGACUGAGGCAUGCACCAGAUCUGUCAUUUCUGGAAUCUUGUGCGAAUUGUGUAUCAACUUGAGGGGCCACUCACGGACUUGUCAUCUGCUCUCACCAGGACUUCAGAGGAUCUCAAUGCUGCUGUUCUCACAGCCUGACAGGGACAAAAUAACAGGAAACUUGCAAAUUUGUCUUUAUUCUUGCUUAUGGUAUGGCUAGAAAAUGUUUGAAUUAAUAUGAGAAAUAUAAAGAUCUAUCAUAACCUCCUUUUUUGUAGGUGGGGCUACUUUUCCUUCCUUAAUAGUUACCCUUCUGCUGAGGCCCCCUAUGGGAAACACCAAUCUUUAAGGGACUUAAUCCCUUUUUCCAAACUUCCCUGGGCCAGUGCCCAAAUGGUCUAUACAUUGUCUGUUAAAUCAAAGAAACCAGCUUUCUUGUUUUUCUCUAUGGUUUCUUCCCAUGCAAUUGACAUCUUACAGUGCAACAUGGA
rnacentral:lncRNA from 1 species